rnacentral:rRNA from 1 species
CCCUCUGACGAGGAAGUAACGUUCCUUUUCCUUCGGGACAGAGGAGACAGGUGGUGCAUGGUUGUCGUCAGCUCGUGUCGUGAGAUGUUGGGUUAAGUCCCGCAACGAGCGCAACCCUUACCUUCAGUAGCCAGCGAGUAAAGUCGGGCACUCUGGAGGGACUGCCAGGGAUAACCUGGAGGAAGGUGGGGAUGACGUCAAAUCAUCAUGCCCCUUAUGAUUUGGGCUACACACGUGCUACAAUGGCGUAAACAGAGGGAGGCGAAGCCGUGAGGUGAAGCAAAUCCCAAAAAUAACGUCUCAGUUCGGAUUGUAGUCUGCAACUCGACUACAUGAAGCUGGAAUCGCUAGUAAUCGCGAAUCAGAAUGUCGCGGUGAAUACGUUCCCGGGUCUUGUACACACCGCCCGUCACACCAUGGGAGUUGGUAACGCCCGAAGUCAGUGACUCAACCGAAAGGGGAGAGCUGCCGAAGGCGGGACUGAUAACUGGGGUGAAGUCGUAACAAGGUAGCCGUAUCGGAAGGUGCGGCUGGAUCACCUC